UACGUAGGGUGCAAGCGUUGUCCGGAAUUAUUGGGCGUAAAGAGCUCGUAGGCGGUCUGUCGCGUCUGCUGUGAAAACUCAGGGCUUAACCCUGAGCUUGCAGUGGGUACGGGCAGACUAGAGUGCGGUAGGGGAGAUCGGAAUUCCUGGUGUAGCGGUGAAAUGCGCAGAUAUCAGGAGGAACACCGGUGGCGAAGGCGGAUCUCUGGGCCUUACCUGACGCUCAGGCGCGAAAGCUAGGGGA
rnacentral:rRNA from 1 species